rnacentral:tRNA from 1 species
GGGCCAAUAGCAUAACAGGUUAAUGCAUCCAGCUCAUAACUGGAAGAAUGACAGGUUCAAGUCCUGCUUGGCUCA